GUGCUCGAUUCAGCAGCACAUAUACUAAAAUUGGGAUGAUCAGAGAAGAUUAGCAUGGCCCCUGUGCAAAGAUGACAUGUAAAUUCGUGAAACGUUCCAUAUUUUU
rnacentral:snRNA from 1 species